rnacentral:lncRNA from 1 species
GCUACACCAGAGGUAUGUCUCCUCUUGAAAGUUAAUCGCCUGAGAUGUCCAUUGCCUGAGCCGUCCAUCGCCUGAGCCCCUGUUUCAGUUUAUUUUUUCCACCUCGCUGCUCAACAGGUCCGUGGUUUACUACUCCUUUGCUCUUGCUGGUGACCGGCCUCCAGAGUAGCACUUGCUUGAGAUCUGAUCUAGAACUGAAUUGUGCCCUGCUUUGCUGUGGUCGUAUGCUCUGUGUCCACCGAUGAGUUUCAGAUACAGAUUAGGACCAAAAUUGGAGUAGGUUCAGUCACGCAAAUGUUGUAUCACUUUGUCAUGGGUAUUGUGCUGCUGAAUUGCUUGUUGGACUGUUCAAACUAAAGUCGUCCAGUCAGUUUGCUACAAUGUUCAUUUGUUUACUUUGGAAGUUCUGUAGAAUUUGGGCCUGAUCGCUUUCGAAUUUGUCUGUGGUUUGAGAUUAAUCUUUCCGAGAUGUUAGAGAGUGGGUCCAUUGAUGGAUCUGCCCAUCAGUGUGCAGAGGAUCUUCUAAUUCCUGCAACUAAUCUUGAUUCAUGGAUAUUGUGUUUGCUCUGUGGCGCACUAUGUUUCAGUUUAUUUUUUCUGAAAAAUUGGCGCUACUUCUGAUUGC